AAUUAUUGAAAUUUAUUGAUUUGAUGUGUUUAACAUUUGAUUAACACAAAUUUCUUUCUUUUCAGGCCACAAAUUACAAGCACAGCAUCAUCAACGGUCAUUGCAAGGGGAGCUACUGCAAUCUCUGCGGUUUUUCCUCUUGGUAAAUGCGUUCUGGACGUGACAAAGGAUGGUCUUCCAAGUCAGCCGGAAUCCCCACCCAUCUAUUUACAAUCUAUUGUACAAUGAGCGGCUGAUAGCCGACUUGCGUACAUAAAUAGAAAAUACAAAACGUGGUGAGAACCUGAAUUUGAAGAUGAUGAAGAGUACAAAAAGUUGGAAACUGAGAACAUGCAUCGAUUAGCAAUUCUGAAAAAGGCUAUUGUUGCAGAACAAAACGCCGCAAGCACUGCUUUUCUUGCUAAAUAUAUACCAGCACUACUGCCCACCGCCGUCUGUGCAAUUAUUUCGAUACGUGGACAAACGCCAUCUCGUCGGUAUUCCAACUGCUUGCCGACACUUCAGCUAUUUCAACUAUUUCAACUAAAGCAUGGACUCAAAUAUGUGAUGUAGUACCCCGUGAAGUGUUCCAAAAAAUCUAUGACAGAUUAGCUGUUACAAUUACUCCUAUUAUUUUUAUCAGUCACGCAUGAUAAGAGGUUGCAAAAGUUUUAGACUCGAAGAACCUACUCGUAAAAGACGAUGACCGCAAAAUUAUGUGGGCUGAUGAAACGUCUUCUGGCAUGCCGUUGACGAUCGUUAGUCAGACGGAGGCUUCACAUACGAUAUUUUAGACCUGGAACUCGUUAGCGGAGGGAGAACGUGAAGGCAUAUUCAAUUCCGAUUUUAUGGGUUGAUUACCGAUGGCAAUCGAACUUCAAUUGAGUGGCCAGUGGCUGAAAUGGUAUUCUGUUAUAGCCACCAAUAUGUAUUCUCCUUUGACAAGAUGUUGGAGAAUCGCGGCAACACAGCCGUAUACAUACUCUAUGCUUUUAUGCGCAUUUGCUAAAUUUCUCGCAGCUAGAUAAAUAGUUUGACAAAGGCAGGAGGCAUAUCUUCACCAUUAUAUCUUCAAGUAAAAAAGUUCCACGCAUGCAAUAAAAGAAUACAAUA